UACGUAGGGUGCAAGCGUUAUCCGGAAUUUAUUGGGCGUAAAGAGCUCGUAGGCGGUUUGUCGCGUCUGCUGUGAAAACUGGAGGCUCAACCUCCAGCCUGCAGUGGGUACGGGCAGACUAGAGUGCGGUAGGGGAGAUUGGAAUUCCUGGUGUAGCGGUGGAAUGCGCAGAUAUCAGGAGGAACACCGAUGGCGAAGGCAGAUCUCUGGGCCGUAACUGACGCUGAGGAGCGAAAGCAUGGGGAGCGAACAGG
rnacentral:rRNA from 1 species